GACAAUAUCAAAUACAUGUAUAGGUCUAAAAUUAUAAUCCAAAGGAUAAAAACAUAAACAUAUUGUAAUAAUUUUAAUGUUAUAGUCCCAAUAAUAAUAAACACAAAUCUAAACAUUUAUAACUUGAAGAAGUAAUUGAAGUGUUCUUUUUGCUCUUGUUGAUAUCCAACUCAAAAAAUCUCCACACAUUUGACAACUUCCUUCGUUUCGCUUUUGUUUUCUCAGUUUGAAAUCUGGUGAGAUAUUUUCCAGCAAAUCCAAGUCAAUCAAAUCAUCAUUUUUGCCUUCAGGCUUCAACGGAUGGGUCACUACUUGCUACCUCACUCAUUUGAAAUUUUUAAAAAAUCCAAGUUCAUUUUAGCACGCGGUAUAAAUUAUAAAAUCCUAAACAAACAUAUUGUAGUUAGGACAGUGAAUUAGACAAAAGGAGCAUGCAUAUGACAGUGAAAAAAACAUUUAUAAGAGUAGAGUGAACCUCGUAGUUCCAUCAAAUAGAGGAGGUGGUUUGGAAGUGGCGUCCAAGGAUGGGGGGAGAUUCUCUUUCAAGCUCCUGUACAACCUAGACAAAUAAAAAAGUUAACAAUCGCAUAAAUUUUGACAGGAACGCCCAAAUUAGGGAAGUCCCAUAGAAAACCCCAUUGAGAUGAUGGAAAUCCAUAUAGGGAGUUGCUCAAGUGGUAAAGGCCUUGGGCUUGAGGGUAUGCUCUCCUCGGGUCUAAGGUUUGAAUCCUCUUGGGUGCAAACAAUUUGUAGGGGCCAUCAGACUAGGAGAACUUUCAUUUGAAUUACCCGAUGUGUACUUGCGGGAAACUCCUUACUGAGGGCCUGUGCAACCCUAGGCUUAGUCGAGAUUUUGUUCUCGGACACCCAGUGCCAAUUAAA